AUUGAAUUUCGAAAUAUUGUAAUAAGUAAAAUUGUUAUAAAUCUAAAAUAGGAAUGAAAAGAAUGAAAAUAUCUAAAAGAACCAUAUCCAAAUCUAAAUCAUUUUCAAAGUAAAUUAUUUCAUACGUAAUAUAGAUAUAUUGAUAUUAAAUAUGGCGGCAUUCAUAUUAAACAUUCUUUAUAAAGAUAAAAUUGAAUCUGGGUCUCAUAAUCUAGAGAACUUGAAGCGGCGGUCACACCUUGCGAUUUUUAGCUGCGACUGGAACUGGCUCUUCUCCCUAAUUCAUAAAUCCCCUCCAAACCGGUCAUUGAUCAACAAAAAUUUUGUUCUUGUGGCAAUGAUCGCAAUUGCACAUC
rnacentral:lncRNA from 1 species